GACGAACGCUGGCGGCGUGCCUAAUACAUGCAAGUAGAACGCACAGUUUAUACCGUAGCUUGCUACACCAUAGACUGUGAGUUGCGAACGGGUGAGUAACGCGUAGGUAACCUGCCUGGUAGCGGGGGAUAACUAUUGGAAACGAUAGCUAAUACCGCAUAAUAUUAAUUAUUGCAUGAUAAUUAAUUGAAAGGUGCAAUUGCACCACUACCAGAUGGACCUGCGUUGUAUUAGCUAGUAGGUGAGGUAACGGCUCACCUAGGCGACGAUACAUAGCCGACCUGAGAGGGGGAUCGGCCACACUGGGACUGAGACACGGCCCAGACUCCUACGGGAGGCAGCAGUAGGGAAUCUUCGGCAAUGGACGAAAGUCUGACCGAGCAACGCCGCGUGAGUGAAGAAGGUUUUCGGAUCGUAAAGCUCUGUUGUAAGAGAAGAACGGAUGUGAGAGUGGAAAGUUCACACUGUGACGGUAUCUUACCAGAAAGGGACGGCUAACUACGUG
rnacentral:rRNA from 1 species